rnacentral:lncRNA from 1 species
GUAUGGUGCUGGGUGCAGAUGCAGUGUGGCUCUGGAUAGCACCUUAUGGACAGUUGUGUCCCCAAGGAAGGAUGAGAAUAGCUACUGAAGUCCUAAAGAGCAAGCCUAACUCAAGCCAUUGGCACACAGGCAUUAGACAGAAAGCUGGAAGUUGAAAUGGUGGAGUCCAACUUGCCUGGACCAGCUUAAUGGUUCUGCUCCUGGUAACGUUUUUAUCCAUGGAUGACUUGCUUGGGUAUGGAGAGUCGGCUUGACUACACUGUGUGGAGCAAGUUUUAAAGAAGCAAAGGACUCAGAAUUCAUGAUUGAAGAAAUGCAGGCAGACCUGUUAUCCUAAACUAGGGUUUUUAAUGACCACAACAAGCAAGCAUGCAGCUUACUGCUUGAAAGGUGAGGAUUGGAAAUGUUGGGACUAUUAUAAUUGCAGAAUACAUGAUGAUCUCAAUCCAACUUGAACUCUCUCACUGAUUACUUGAUGACAAUAAAAUAUCUGAUAUUCUGCAUUCCCAUGUAGCAUUUUAAUUGAAGUCUGUAAAUGUGGCUAAAAGUCUUGUCUUAUUUUUUGAGACAGGGUCUUGCCUCACCCAAGCUAGAGUGCAGUGGCCUUUGAAGCUUACUACAGCCUCAAACUUCUGGGCUCAAGUGAUCCUCAGCCUCCCAGUGGUCUUUGUAGACUGCCUGAUGGAGUCUCAUGGCACAAGAAGAUUAAAACAGUGUCUCCAAUUUUAAUAAAUUUUUGCAAUCC